UGCGGGGGCGUGGCGUACGGCUCAGUAACACGUAGUCAACCUGGCCUGGAGACAAGGACAACCCCGGGAAACUGGGAUUAAUCCUUGAUAGGUCAUCUCAUCUGGAAGGAGAGAUGGCUUAAAGGGGUACGCGGGCUUCUUCCGCGAAUUCGCUCCAGGAUGGGACUGCGUCCGAUCAGGCUGUUGGCGGGGUAAUGGCCCACCAAACCUGUAACCGGUACGGGCCUUGAGAGAGGUGGCCCGGAGAUGGACACUGAGAGAAGGGUCCAGGUCCUACGGGGCGCAGCAGGCGCGAAACCUUCGCAAUGCGCGAAAGCGUGACGAGGUUAAUCCGAGUGACUCCCGCUGAGGGGGUCUUUUGUCAGCUGUAAAUAGGCAGGCGAAUAAGGGGAGGGCAAGCCUGGUGUCAGCCGCCGCGGUAAUACCAGCUCCUCGAGUGGUCGGGGCGAUUAUUGGGCCUAAAGCAUCCGUAGCCGGUUCCGUAGGUCCUCUGUUAAAUCCAACCGCUCAACGGUUGACCUGCAGAGGAUACCGCGGGACUAGGAGGCGGGAGAGGCGGACGGUACUCCGCGUGUAGGGGUAAAAUCCUUUGAUCCGCGGAAGACCACCAGUGGCGAAGGCGGUCCGCCAGAACGCGCUCGACGGUGAGGGAUGAAAGCUGGGGGAGCGAACCGGAUUAGAUACCCGGGUAGUCCCAGCCGUAAACGAUGCUAGCUAGAUGAUUCAUUCGCAAGUCGCGAAUGAAGUGUCGCAGGGAAGCCGUUAAGCUAGCCGCCUGGGGAGUACGGUCGCAAGACUGAAACUUAAAGGAAUUGGCGGG
rnacentral:rRNA from 1 species